rnacentral:rRNA from 1 species
CAGCCGCCGCGGGAAUACGGAGGGUGCAAGCGUUAAUCGGAAUUACUGGGCGUAAAGCGCACGCAGGCGGUUUGUUAAGUCAGAUGUGAAAUCCCCGAGCUUAACUUGGGAACUGCAUUUGAAACUGGCAAGCUAGAGUCUUGUAGAGGGGGGUAGAAUUCCAGGUGUAGCGGUGAGAUGCGUAGAGAUCUGGAGGAAUACCGGUGGCGAAGGCGGCCCCCUGGACAAAGACUGACGCUCAGGUGCGAAAGCGUGGGGAGCAAACAGGAUUAGAUACCCGCGUAGUCCCUGUCUCUUAUAA